rnacentral:rRNA from 1 species
GAUGAACGCUGGCGGCGUGCCUAAUACAUGCAAGUCGAGCGAACGGACGAGAAGCUUGCUUUUCUGAUGUUAGCGGCGGACGGGUGAGUAACACGUGGAUAACCUACCUAUAAGACUGGGAUAACUUCGGGAAACCGGAGCUAAUACCGGAUAAUAUUUUGAACCGCAUGGUUCAAAAGUGAAAGACGGUCUUGCUGUCACUUAUAGAUGGAUCCGCGCUGCAUUAGCUAGUUGGUAAGGUAACGGCUUACCAAGGCAACGAUGCAUAGCCGACCUGAGAGGGUGAUCGGCCACACUGGAACUGAGACACGGUCCAGACUCCUACGGGAGGCAGCAGUAGGGAAUCUUCCGCAAUGGGCGAAAGCCUGACGGAGCAACGCCGCGUGAGUGAUGAAGGUCUUCGGAUCGUAAAACUCUGUUAUUAGGGAAGAACAUAUGUGUAAGUAACUGUGCACAUCUUGACGGUACCUAAUCAGAAAGCCACGGCUAACUACGUGCCAGCAGCCGCGGUAAUACGUAGGUGGCAAGCGUUAUCCGGAAUUAUUGGGCGUAAAGCGCGCGUAGGCGGUUUUUUAAGUCUGAUGUGAAAGCCCACGGCUCAACCGUGGAGGGUCAUUGGAAACUGGAAAACUUGAGUGCAGAAGAGGAAAGUGGAAUUCCAUGUGUAGCGGUGAAAUGCGCAGAGAUAUGGAGGAACACCAGUGGCGAAGGCGACUUUCUGGUCUGUAACUGACGCUGGUGUGCGAAAGCGUGGGGAUCAAACAGGAUUAGAUACCCUGGUAGUCCACGCCGUAAACGAUGAGUGCUAAGUGUUAGGGGGUUUCCGCCCCUUAGUGCUGCAGCUAACGCAUUAAGCACUCCGCCUGGGGAGUACGACCGCAAGGUUGAAACUCAAAGGAAUUGACGGGGACCCGCACAAGCGGUGGAGCAUGUGGUUUAAUUCGAAGCAACGCGAAGAACCUUACCAAAUCUUGACAUCCUUUGACAACUCUAGAGAUAGAGCCUUCCCCUUCGGGGGACAAAGUGACAGGUGGUGCAUGGUUGUCGUCAGCUCGUGUCGUGAGAUGUUGGGUUAAGUCCCGCAACGAGCGCAACCCUUAAGCUUAGUUGCCAUCAUUAAGUUGGGCACUCUAAGUUGACUGCCGGUGACAAACCGGAGGAAGGUGGGGAUGACGUCAAAUCAUCAUGCCCCUUAUGAUUUGGGCUACACACGUGCUACAAUGGACAAUACAAAGGGCAGCGAAACCGCGAGGUCAAGCAAAUCCCAUAAAGUUGUUCUCAGUUCGGAUUGUAGUCUGCAACUCGACUACAUGAAGCUGGAAUCGCUAGUAAUCGUAGAUCAGCAUGCUACGGUGAAUACGUUCCCGGGUCU